AUCCAGACUCCUACGGGAGGCAGCAGUGGGGGAUAUUGCACAAUGGGGGGAACCCUGAUGCAGCGACGCCGCGUGGGUGAAGGAGUGCUUCGGCAUGUAAAGCCCUAUCGGCAGGGAAGAAGCAAGACGGUACCUGACUAAGAAGCCCCGGCUAACUACGUGCCAGCAGCCGCGGUAAUACGUAGGGGGCAAGCGUUAUCCGGAUUCACUGGGUGUAAAGGGAGCGUAGACGGCGACGCAAGUCUGGAGUGAAAGCCCGAGGCCCAACCCCGGGACUGCUCUGGAAACUGCGUCGCUGGAGUACGGGAGGGGCAGGCGGAAUUCCUGGUGUAGCGGUGAAAUGCGUAGAUAUCAGGAGGAACACCGGCGGCGAAGGCGGCCUGCUGGACCGUGACUGACGUUGAGGCUCGAGAGCGUGGGGAGCAAACAGGAUUAGAUACCCUCGUA
rnacentral:rRNA from 1 species